AGUGAACGCUGGCGGUAGGCCUAACACAUGCAAGUCGAACGGCAGCACAGUAAGAGCUUGCUCUUACGGGUGGCGAGUGGCGGACGGGUGUGGAAUACAUCGGACUCUACUUUUUCGUGGGGGAUAACGUAGGGAAACUUACGCUAAUACCGCAUACGACCUACGGCUGAAAGCAGGGGAUCUUCGGACCUUGCGCGAUUGAAUGAGCCGAUGUCGGAUUAGCUAGUUGGCGGGGUAAAGGCCCACCAAGGCGACGAUCCGUAGCUGGUCUGAGAGGAUGAUCAGCCACACUGGAACUGAGACACGGUCCAGACUCCUACGGGAGGCAGCAGUGGGGAAUAUUGGACAAUGGGCGCAAGCCUGAUCCAGCCAUACCGCGUGGGUGAAGAAGGCCUUCGGGUUGUAAAGCCCUUUUGUUGGGAAAGAAAAGCAGCAGGUUAAUACCCCGCUGUUCUGACGGUACCCAAAGAACAAGCACCGGCUAACUUCGUG
rnacentral:rRNA from 1 species